rnacentral:lncRNA from 1 species
GGUGGCACGUCCUGCAGCCUACCCAACUGGCGCAUUACCCUAGAAGGACUGUAUGGUCUAGUGCAAUUGAGCCCUAACAUAACUAAAGGGAGCUGCGUCUGAUAACCCAACAAGAUUAUCUUCGGUCGAAGCCACAAAUAAGUCCACAAAAUGUUAUCCCCGGUUCUUGAUUCAAGAAAUACAAUCCAAGCCUCGACUCCCACGGG